rnacentral:lncRNA from 1 species
UCUAGUAGUAGAAAAGGAAUAACGUCUUAUUAGUGUUUCUUACUCCGACUUGGGGAACAAGGAACAGAAUAGGAAUUAGCCAACAGAAUUCUGCCUUCAAGAAUUCCUUGUAUAAAAUUAAAAUCCAAAACAGUACAGGCAUGGUGUUUACCAUAUAGAAGGUACUAAAUAGAUAAGUAGACUUUGUGAAAUACAAAAUUAUCCUUUCAUAUUUAUUAUUUUCAAAUUUAUCCUUUCUGGGGGCCUGCAAGGUGGCUGAGUGGGUAAAGGUGCUUGCUGUCAAGCCCAAGGACACGAAUUGCAUCCCCAGGGACCCACGUGAUGUAAGGAAAGCACUGACUUAGGCAGAUUGUCUAUAUUGACUCUCAUACGAAAGUGGGUGACAAAUUGUGCUGAAGAAAUUACUUCUGAGUUAUAAUGGCACCUUAUAUCAGGGCUUAUGAGAAAAAGAUACCGUUAUGCUAGUAACGCCAGUAUCAAUAGCAUGAAGAUAACAGGCUUUCCCUGUUCUUGUUAACUUAGGGUAACACCAGGCUCACCACAUGGAGAGUAGAAUAUAGAUAGGCAGGCUGGAUGAAAGGAAAAAGAUGUAAGGCUGUAAAAUAGUCUUAGGACCGCCUGUAACUCGAAACACACAACCAAAAGACAAGAAUAGCCCAAAACAUAUACACAUUAAGGGGCUGAAGAAAUGGCUUAGCUGAAAAAAUAAGAAUAGGUCACCUUUCCACAGACUGACGCAUGGCGUAACAGUGCACAUACAAAGGAAUACAUGUCUUUUUUUUUUUUUUCAGUAAACGUAAGUACAAUGCUGAUAUAUUUUAUGCUACUGCAUCUUGGAAACACGCUAAAGAAAAAGCCAGUCACAAAGGGCAUAGUAUGACACCAUUCAUGAGAAAAACAUCCAGGACAAGCAAAUCUAGAGAAACAGGAACUCCUUCCUGUGUCCCAGCCUGGAGAGAUGGGAUUAAAGGGAUGGGGUUUCUCUUUUGGUUUUUGUUACUGUUGUUUUGCUUUGGUUUUUGGGUUUUUUGAGACACCUUCUUGCUGUGUAUCCUGGGUUGUCUUUAAGCUAUGUAGUCUGGGCUGGCCUUGAACUCAUAGAGCACCUGCCUCUGCCUCCUGAGUCCUGGAAUGUGCCACCACACAGAGCUUUGUUACGUGUUUGAAACAGGGUCUUGUGUACCUUAGGUGGCCUCACACUCAACUUUGUAGCCAAGGAUGACCUUAAACUUCCGAUUUCUCUGUCUUCACCUCCUGAGUGAUACAAUCCUGGGUAAAUCCCACCAUAUCUGGUUUUAUACAGUUGUACUCAGAGCCUUUUGCAUGCUAGGUGAACAGUCUGCCAGCUGAGCUGUGAACACCCCCAGCCCCAGGGAAUGAGGCUUCUUUUUAAAGUAGUGUUAAUGUUCUCAAAACAGUUGUGGUGAUGUAGUAAUGGAUGCGUGACAGAACAUACAUACUGGAAACCUUUAGAGUAUAUACUUUUGAGUGAGAGAGUUCUGUAGUUUGACAUUUUUAUUUUGAUAAUGCUAUUAAAAUGAAACCUGACAAGAGCUAUUAAAUCUAGACCUAAGGGUCAAGCCUGGUGGCUUGUGCCCAUAAUCCCAGCACUUGGAGGUAGAGGUACAACUAUCAGUUCAGCUUCAUAGUGAGUUUAAAGCCAGUCUGAACUUGGAGGCCUUGUCUCAAAUAAAUAAAAUCUAUACCGAAGAUGUACACCUAGCAUAGAAAGAGUUAAUGUUUGACCUGUCUGUGGCUUAAAUUUUAAACCUUCGUUUAGGAUCUUAUUUUAUACACAUCAUAUUGCAUCAGCCUCGAAAUGAACCUCAGAGCUCUCUCCUUCUCUUUCCUUCCAGUCCAUCCAGCAGAUAGCUGCCAGGAUAAUCUCUUCUAAUAACUGCCUUGAAGACCUGCAGAGGCACCCAGUGCACUAUUGACUAUUACCUAGCUCUAGUUUCCAUUGUAUAAUAUUGAUUUCCCCCCGAGCCUCAACUGACUAUUCCCUCUGCAGUGUCUUAUCUUCCCAUCUUAUCUUGAUGGCCCAUUCCUCUGUCUUUUGAUCCCUUUUCCCUGACUUUUUCCCUACUCAAAUUUUAGUUUAGACAGGCUGGCUUUCUUUCACGCACCCUCCUCUGUUUUAGUGUUUAAUUUGCCUUUCUUACUGCCUAAGAGCGGUCCCUUUUGCUUUGCUUUUUUGUUUGUUUCCUUUUGUUCUGUUUUCAGACAAGUCUUCCUUUUUAAGCCCAGGCUGGCCUAGAAUUUGUAGUAGCCCUCCUGCCCUCUGGAUGGUGAGGUUAUAGGCAUGAGCCUCCAUUUACAGUCAGGAGUUUCUUGAGAAGCUUUGAGAUGGUAGGUCCACUGUUUUGUCUUACAAGCUUUUAAAUGUAUGUGUGCAUACCCAGAUGCAUGCUUGCAAAGGCCAGAGGUUGGUGUCGGAGAUGAAGUCUCUCACUGAACCUGGAGUCCCCGUGGCUAGGCUGGCUGGUGAGCUCUGAGUCUUCAGCUGUGCGCCACCAGACCUGUCUUGUAUGUGUGCUUGGAUCCAAACCCGGGUCCUCACGCUCUUGGUAGGCAAUGUUAGCUGAGCCUCUCAUUCACCUCCUAGGACUGUAAGUUCUUACAGGCCCCAGUGAUAGGUAGUGAUUUUUUUUUUAAUUUUAAAUUAUUUUACAAUUCGUUUCAUAAAUUUUCUCCAUUCCAUAAAAGACCCCAUUUGUGCAGCACUGAAUUCCUAUAGGAGAGUUCCCAGUGCCCUGCAAGCAUUCAAGUGGGAUCUAAUAGAACAAGAAGAAAACAAAGAGUAAGCACCGCCAUCCCAGCUUGUGAUACACAGGAAGAGAGGCCACCCUAAACAGGUGGAUCAGGAAACGUUUAUCUGAUUAGGUGACACAUCUCAGACCUAAAACACAAGAGGGAAUCCACUAUUAGGAACUACCUUAACCCCUCUAAACAAAAAACUGAGAGGAUGAAGUUCAGUAGAUAAGGGGCCUGUCUCAAGCGUGAGGACCUAAGUUUGAAUCUCCAAUACUCACGUAAAAGUCAGGCAUGGCAGUGUGGUCUAGUCAAGUAGAUGAUCUUGUUCAGUGAGAUCAGUUUGUUCAGUCCUGUGUUGGAAACUAAGGCUGAGAAUGAUGGAGGAAGACACUCAGGUUGACUUCUAACCUCCUUGCACAUGUGCACACACCCACAGGAAUUCUUACAUACACCACAUGUAAUGCAAGGCAUUUGUUACAAAGGAUACAGGGUACUGGACCAAAAGGUAGGUUGGAGCCAGUUGUUAAAUGGUUUAGAUAUUCCCUGUGCAAUAGAGAAUCAUUCAAGAUGACUUUCCCCCUUCUUCUCAAAUAGCAACACAGGCAUGUUUGCAGUCUCUUAAUGC